rnacentral:rRNA from 1 species
UUAGGUUGAUCCUGCCGGACUGACUGUAUCUAUGUACUAAGCCAUGCAGUGUUGUCAAUACAGCGGACUGCUCAUAACACGUAGUUAACUUAACCUAUGGAUGGGCAUAACCUCGGGAAACUGAGAAUAAUAACCCAAUGGACCACAGUGCCUGGAAUGGCCUGUGGUUGAAAUGAUUUAUCGCCGUAGGAUAGGACUGCGGCCUAUCAGCUUGUUGGUGAGGUAAUGGCCCACCAAGGCUAUAACAGGUACGGGCUCUGAGAGGAGGGGCCCGGAGAUGGGUACUGAGACACGGACCCAGGCCCUAUGGGGCGCAGCAGGCGAGAAACCUUUGCAAUGUGCGAAAGCACGACAAGGUUAAUCCGAGUGUCUCCUGCUAAAGGAGUCUUUUGUCAGUUGUAGAAUCACUGGUGAAUAAGGGGUGGGCAAGUUCUGGUGUCAGCCGCCGCGGUAAAACCAGCACCUCGAGUGGUCAGGAGGUUUAUUGGGCCUAAAGCAUCCGUAGCCGGUUGCAUAAGUUUUCGGUUAAAUCUAUGCGCUUAACGUAUAGGCCGCCGAAAAUACUGGUG